GGUAGCGAAAUUCCUUGUCGGGUAAGUUCCGACCCGCACGAAAGGCGUAAUGAUUUGGGCACUGUCUCAACGAGAGACUCGGUGAAAUUUUAGUACCUGUGAAGAUGCAGGUUACCCGCGACAGGACGGAAAGACCCCAUGGAGCUUUACUGCAGUUUGAUAUUGAGUAUCUGUACCACAUGUACAGGAUAGGUAGGAGCCAUUGACUUCGGGACGCCAGUUUCGAAUGAGGCGUUGUUGGGAUACUACCCUUGUGUUAUGGCUACUCUAACCCAGAUAGGUUAUCCCUAUCGGAGACAGUGUCUGACGGGCAGUUUGACUGGGGCGGU
rnacentral:rRNA from 1 species